rnacentral:lncRNA from 1 species
AGAUAGUUCAUCCCAUAAUGCCUUUAGGCCAGUAAAAUAAGUAGCAAUGGGAGAAGUAUCUUGUUGAUGAGUAGCGAUAGACCGAGAGAGUUGGAAUAUACGAGAAGCGUUUUGUUGGGAGAAACGGUCGUUGAGUUCACUCCAUACCUUGCUGGCUUUCUCAGCAUAUAUCACGCUAUUGGCGAUGUCAUGAUGCACCGAAUUCAGGAUCCAGGAGUAUACCAUUCGGUU